rnacentral:rRNA from 1 species
AGCGUAGGCGGUUUUCUAAGUCAGAAGUGAAAGGCUAAUGGCUCAACCAUAGUAAGCUUUUGUAAACUAGUUAAACUUAGAGUGCAGGAGAGGAAAGUGGAAUUCCUAGUGUAGAGGUGAAAUUACGUAGAUAUUAGGAGGAACACCAGUGGCGAAGGCGACUUUCUUGGACUGUAACUGACGCUGAGGCACGAAAGCGUGGGGAGCGAACAGGAUUAGAUACCCCUGGUAG